CACGUAGGGCGCAAGCGUUGUCCGGAAUUAUUGGGCGUAAAGAGCUCGUAGGCGGUCUGUUGCGUCCGCUGUGAAAACUCGGGGCUUAACCCCGAGCCUGCAGUGGAUACGGGCAGACUAGAGGUAGGUAGGGGAGAAUGGAAUUCCCGGUGUAGCGGUGAAAUGCGCAGAUAUCAGGGGGAACACCGGUGGCGAAGGCGCUGCUCUGGGCCGGUACUGACGCUGAGGAGCGAAAGCGUGGGGAGCAAACAGG
rnacentral:rRNA from 1 species